UAACCUGCCAAGAGAUCGGGAUAACACCUGGAAACAGAUGCUAAUACCGGAUAACAACAGAUGAUGCCUAUCAACUGUUUAAAAGAUGGUUCUGCUAUCACUCUUGGAUGGACCUGCGGUGCAUUAGCUAGUUGGUAGGGUAACGGCCUACCAAGGCGAUGAUGCAUAGCCGAGUUGAGAGACUGAUCGGCCACAUUGGGACUGAGACACGGCCCAAACUCCUACGGGAGGCAGCAGCC
rnacentral:rRNA from 1 species